rnacentral:rRNA from 1 species
GAAGAGAGCUUGCUCUCUGAUUCAGCGGCGGACGGGUGAGUAAUGCCUAGGAAUCUGCCUGGUAGUGGGGGACAACGUUUCGAAAGGAACGCUAAUACCGCAUACGUCCUACGGGAGAAAGCAGGGGACCUUCGGGCCUUGCGCUAUCAGAUGAGCCUAGGUCGGAUUAGCUAGUUGGUGAGGUAAUGGCUCACCAAGGCUACGAUCCGUAACUGGUCUGAGAGGAUGAUCAGUCACACUGGAACUGAGACACGGUCCAGACUCCUACGGGAGGCAGCAGUGGGGAAUAUUGGACAAUGGGCGAAAGCCUGAUCCAGCCAUGCCGCGUGUGUGAAGAAGGUCUUCGGAUUGUAAAGCACUUUAAGGUGGGAGGAAGGGCAGUAAAUUAAUACUUUGCUGUUUUGACGUUACCGCCAGAAUAAGCACCGGCUAACUCUGUGCCAGCAGCCGCGGUAAUACAGAGGGUGCAAGCGUUAAUCGGAAUUACUGGGCGUAAAGCGCGCGUAGGUGGUUUGUUA